rnacentral:lncRNA from 1 species
GUCUCCCCUUUCCCGCUACUCAUUCCAGCCCUAAUCUUCCCAACAAAGAAAUCGACCAGCCAUGAGUAGGCGACGACGAAGAUAGAAGCCAGAAGCUGCGUUCCAGACGGUGGUUUCAGUCGGCGCUUCAAACUGUGAAACCGCUCCUAUGGGUACAAAGGGUUUCAGGUAAUAGGGCGAACUGGAAAUUAAAAGGUAUUAAACGUGAUUCUGACGGAAAUUGAUAAUAUGAUUGGACUGUAGAUCGCCCCUGCUGAUUUAGAGGAUGUUCUAGCAACUCAUCCAGCCAUUCUUGACGCUGCAGUAACAGGUGAUUGGAAGAUCGGGAAGCUUUACAAAUAAGACAAUUUGCAUCAUCUAGUUGAGACUUAUAAGCUUCAAAAAGUUCAGGCGGAACUAGAAAGAGAACGUGAGGCCUGACAAAAAUAGAAGCUCGUUUCGAACUAUUUCAACAAGAGCGUGAAAAAGAGUGGGCCGACCAAGACGCAUGGCGAAAAAAUAUGGAAGAAAUGGUGAAAAACAUCGGAAAGAAGUAAACAAAGCUCUCGUUUUGUUAAGUAUUGGAAUGUUGGAUUAGUUUUGAAUCAAAAAACUUGCUCUUAAUUUGGAUUUUUUGUUUGUUUUGGAAUGUUUUAGAAUCUUGCUUGUUGCAAAUGUU